rnacentral:lncRNA from 1 species
AUGGUUGGACACACAUGGAUCCACAGCUUGUUAAUAGUGACAGGGCUUCAGUUCACAGGAGCUGCUUUGAUCAGACGUGGAGACGACGUCUCGUUCCCUUGUAACAAUCUGAUCCCUGAUCAGAGUCAGUGUAACACCACCACCUGGCUCUACAGUGUCUCAGGACCAGCACUAGUGGAGCUGGUUACACUUGGGAAGAUUAGAGAAAACGAUGCAUCUAAAUCCAACAGACUGAGUUUAACAGAGAACUGUUCUCUGGUCAUAAAGCAGAUCACAGAUCAGGAUGCUGGUCGUUACACCUGCAGACAGUAUAAUAAAUCAGGACGACAACAAGGUGUAGAUGCUGCUGUUGACUUGUCUGUUGUUACCUUGACUCAACAUGAACACGAUGAUGAGGUGACGUUAAACUGUCACGUGUGGACGAAUAGUCAGUGCAGACACACAGUAAAGUGGCUGUUUGAGGAUAAAGACCUGGAAAAGACUUCAAUAAAGUCAUCAGAGUCUCUCUGUGACGCUGCUGUUACUUUUAGUAGAAGUUCCUUCUAUUCAUCGCGCUCCAUUACUUCAUUUACGUGUGAAGUGAGAGAUGGUCACAAUCAUCAAAGCUCCACCUUCAACCUUCAGCCUCAAGGUGACGACAAACCACCAGCAACAGGUGCCGAAUCAUGGUUUCAUGCUCUCCCUCUCUCUCUCCCUCUCGCUCGCCCUCUGCUCCUGCCUCUCUCAGACACAUCUGUCCCAGUGGUGCUUCCCUCCAGCUGUGCUGUCUGUGGCUCUGACUCAGCUUUAACCUGCACCAGUGAAACCAGCUGAGCUCAGCUGUUUGUGUUGGUCUCAGGUGGAGGUCUGUGGAGGAACGUCGUGGUCUCGGUGGCUGUAACGUCUCUGGUGGUGGUGGUGGUCACAGUCCACGUGUGGACCAGAGCUGAAGGUGAAACGUUUUCCUGCCGACAGAAGCUUCAGCGUUUGUGCGUUGGCUGUUUGUGCUGAAGUCGACUCUUUUGUCUUCGUAGGGAACAAAGGGACGGAUCAAGCAGUGAGUAUGAAGCUGCUCUUUGUUCAGAUGAGCUGCUGCCCGUGGGGUUGUGGGUCCGAGUCCCUGCGGCGCUGAGCAAGGCAGCGAGCUCCAGCUGUUCCUCUGCAGCUGCUUCGUGUCCGUCACUGUUCUGUUUGAGCUCAGUGUCGAUGCUUCCACAGGUUCACGGUGAUGAAGACGAUGGUGAAGGUGCAGCGACGUAUGAAAACGCCAGAGACUCGUCUGCUUCAGUCUGAGCAACGACGGCAUCAACUCACCACGCGCAUUCAUCCUGCUGCGUCUGAGUCUCUGUUCUGUUGUUAAACCAUGAAUAAAGCAUCAGACGUUUAUCA